rnacentral:rRNA from 1 species
AGCGAACGCUGGCGGCAGGCUUAACACAUGCAAGUCGAACGGUCCUUCGGGAUAGUGGCGGACGGGUGAGUAACACGUGGGAACGUACCCAUAGGUUCGGAACAACACAGGGAAACUUGUGCUAAUACCGGAUAAGCCCUUCGGGGGAAAGAUUUAUCGCCUUUGGAGCGGCCCGCGUCUGAUUAGCUUGUUGGUGAGGUAAUGGCUCACCAAGGCUACGAUCAGUAGCUGGUCUGAGAGGAUGGCCAGCCACACUGGGACUGAGACACGGCCCAGACUCCUACGGGAGGCAGCAGUGGGGAAUCUUGCGCAAUGGGCGAAAGCCUGACGCAGCCAUGCCGCGUGGAUGAUGAAGGUCUUAGGAUUGUAAAAUCCUUUCACCGGGGACGAUAAUGACGGUACCCGGAGAAGAAGCCCCGGCUAACUUCGUGCCAGCAGCCGCAGUAA